UCUAAGUUUGAUGGCGACCGGCGCACGGGUGAGUAACACGUAUCCAACCUGCCGAUGACUCGGGGAUAGCCUUUCGAAAGAAAGAUUAAUACCCGAUGGCAUAGUUCUUCCGCAUGGUAGAACUAUUAAAGAAUUUCGGUCAUCGAUGGGGAUGCGUUCCAUUAGGUUGUUGGCGGGUAACGGCCCACCAAGCCUUCGAUGGAUAGGGGUUCUGAGAGGAAGGUCCCCCACAUUGGAACUGAGACACGGUCCAAACUCCUACGGGAGGCAGCAUG
rnacentral:rRNA from 1 species